AAUGGCUAAUUAAAUUAUUAAGUUAUAUAUAUUGUAAGCAGGUGAGAGAAAUAAAAACUUGCCGUCUUCAUUUUUCUCCUCAUUUAACAAAAACUAGAAAAAAAAAAAAAAGAAGAAGCUUGAUUUCUAUCUUCCGUGGCUGGUUACAAUUACUAAGCUAAGACAAGGUCGAAAUGUCAAGGUUCGAGGCGAAAGCGGACGACAGAUAAUGAAAUUGGUUUGGGCUACCAUAUUUUUUAUUCAUCACAUAAGAUAAUUAAAUAUUUGGAUCGUGAAUUUUAUAAAUGUUAAUUGUUGUUCUGAUUAUGAUUUAUAAUUGUUGAUUAAAUCUUUAAAUGGUAAUUGUUGGACUAAAUGAUAAAUAAACGAGUAAUUUUUGUUGAUAUGAGAACAUAAAAUAGGUUGAUAGUUAGGCAUGA